rnacentral:rRNA from 1 species
CACGUAGUUAGCCGGUGCUUAUUCUUCAGGUACCGUCAUUAGCAAGAGAUAUUAGCUCUCACCGUUUCUUCCCUGACAAAAGAGCUUUACAACCCGAAGGCCUUCUUCACUCACGCGGCAUUGCUGGAUCAGGCUUUCGCCCAUUGUCCAAAAUUCCCCACUGCUGCCUCCCGUAGGAGUCUGGACCGUGUCUCAGUUCCAGUGUGGCUGGUCGUCCUCUCAGACCAGCUACUGAUCGAUGCCUUGGUAGGCUUUUACCCUACCAACUAGCUAAUCAGAUAUCGGCCGCUCCACGAGCAUGAGGUCUUGCGAUCCCCCACUUUCAUCCGUAGAUCGUAUGCGGUAUUAGCGUAACUUUCGCUACGUUAUCCCCCACUCCAGGGUACGUUCCGAUAUAUUACUCACCCGUUCGCCACUCGCCACCAGAGCAAGCUCCGUGCUGCCGUUCGACUUGCAUGUGUAAGGCAUGCCGCCAGCGUUCAAU